rnacentral:snoRNA from 1 species
CCCUCUUACAAAGGCACGUUUUGGUUCCCUACCUUUGGACAUGUAAGACUUGGAGGCAAAGACAUGGAUGUGGAGAAAUCUGGGGCUAGCUCGCUCCCUGUAGGCUCAGAACCAACCAGAACACACAA